CCCUUAGAUGUUCUGGGCCGCACGCGCGCUACACUGAUGCAUUCAACAAGCCUAGCCUUGGCCGAGAGGUCCGGGUAAUCUUUGAAACUGCAUCGUGAUGGGGCUAGAUUAUUGCAAUUAUUAAUCUUCAACGAGGAAUGCCUAGUAAGCGUGAUUCAUCAAAUCGCGUUGAUUACGUCCCUGCCCUUUGUACACACCGCCCGUCGCUCCUACCGAUUGAAUGUGUUGGUGAGGAGCUCGGAUUGGCAGCAGUUGGUGGUUCGCCACCGGCUAUUGCUGAGAAGUCCUCCAAACCGCCCCAUUUAGAGGAAGGAGAAGUCGUAACA
rnacentral:rRNA from 1 species